UACGAAGGGUGCUAGCGUUGUUCGGAAUCACUGGGCGUAAAGCGUGCGUAGGCGGCUUGACAAGUCUGACGUGAAAGCCCGGGGCUUAACCCCGGAUGUGCGUUGGAAACUGUCUUGCUGGAGGACGGAAGAGGAGAGUGGAAUUCCUAGUGUAGAGGUGAAAUUCGUAGAUAUUAGGAGGAACACCAGUGGCGAAGGCGACUCUCUGGUCCGUUUCUGACGCUGAGGCACGAAAGCGUGGGGAUCAAACAGG
rnacentral:rRNA from 1 species